rnacentral:rRNA from 1 species
GAUGAACGCUGGCGGCGUGCCUAAUACAUGCAAGUCGAGCGAACAGACGAGGAGCUUGCUCCUCUGACGUUAGCGGCGGACGGGUGAGUAACACGUGGAUAACCUACCUAUAAGACUGGGAUAACUUCGGGAAACCGGAGCUAAUACCGGAUAAUAUAUUGAACCGCAUGGUUCAAUAGUGAAAGACGGUUUUGCUGUCACUUAUAGAUGGAUCCGCGCCGCAUUAGCUAGUUGGUAAGGUAACGGCUUACCAAGGCAACGAUGCGUAGCCGACCUGAGAGGGUGGUCGGCCACACUGGAACUGAGACACGGUCCAGACUCCUACGGGAGGCAGCAGUAGGGAAUCUUCCGCAAUGGGCGAAAGCCUGACGGAGCAACGCCGCGUGAGUGAUGAAGGUCUUCGGAUCGUAAAACUCUGUUAUUAGGGAAGAACAAAUGUGUAAGUAACUAUGCACGUCUUGACGGUACCUAAUCAGAAAGCCACGGCCAACUACGUG